rnacentral:lncRNA from 1 species
CUGCCUGCCACCAUGUAAGACCUGCCUUUGCCUCUCCUUUGUCCUCUGCCAUGAGUGUGAGGCCUCCCCAGCCAUGUGGAACUGUGAGUCCAUUAAACCUCCUUCUUUAUAAAUUCCCCAUUCUCAGGUAUGUCUUUAUUAGUAGCGUGAGAACAGAUGAGGCUCACUGGACUAGCUGGUGGGGGAGGAGAAAGCAGCCCAUGUUCCCUCUCUCAAGCAGGACCAUUUUGUUUUCCUCAGUUUCCCUCUUCCACUUCCACUUGGGGACCCCCACAGCCAUGGCCAGAGAGAGGGAGCUUGGGGUCCCAGUGCCUGGUACAAACUCACUCUGCCCCUCACUGCCCUUGGGGUCCCCACUCUGUGGGGUCAGGGACCGGGGUCCACAAGGAACUGCUUGUCGCCAUCUUCCCACCCCCCACCCCAAAGGGGCUUGAGCAUGUUCCCAGGCUCGCUUUCCCCACUGAAGGAGGGGUGGCUGUGUGAGUCCUUCCACUUCAUGACCCUCUCUGUUUCCUUAUAUGUUCAGCAAAGGCUUGACUGAAGUCACGGGUCUCAUCAUUCCUUUCCUAAGCUUUCUUCAAACAGCAUGGUGCGUGGAUGAGGACACACGUGCUCUGUAGAAGGUGGGGCCACAAAGCCCUGCCGACCGACCUUUCCUGCCUUCUGCCUCUAAGGUGCAACCCCGAAAGCACCUGCUGGAACCUUUGGGGCUCAGGGAGCACAGCCUGGAAGCAGGGGGAUACUCCCCAGGGCUGCAGUCCACCUCGGAAGCUGCUCACCACAGGUGUCUGCUUACACUUCAAUUCAGAUCACAUAAGAUACACAUGCAGCUCUUAGGCUUCUGAGCCACCCUUCAAGAGCACAGCCACUCGUGGCUAAUGGCUGCUGACUGGAACCCUGGAUGGCCCAAUCUGGAACUUUUCAUCACCCCAGAGCAUCCUGUGCAGUGCUUCUCCCGGGGAGCCCUGCAGGCAGUGACCUCCAGCUCCGAGCCUGAUCCCACAUGAGCAGGAAGAAGACAGCCCAGGGAGGCUGCCCACAGCCACAAGCUCAUUUCUCAUGGCAAACCACAAAUGGGAGAUGCUAAGAAAUUAGAAUAGAGGAUGCUCCAGAGCAGACGCUCCUGUUUACAGAGCUGAAACUCAGUACUCAUUAAACAACUCCCUCCUGCAGCCACGCUGGGAGCUGACACUCUCCACACAUGCUUCAUGCACCCAGGCGCUCAUCCAGGGAUCAUCCUGUACCUCAAAUACCCCCAAGAACUGUCCUGCCCCAGGACCUUUGCACAUGCUGGACCCACUACCUGUGAUGCCCUCUUCUGGCUCACCACGUGGCUGGCUCCAUCUCAUUCAUUGGUCUCAGCCCAGUGGCCUCCUCAUCAGAGGGGCUGUCCCUGCCUGCCCUGGCUGGCCCAACCCCUCCCCCACAAUGACUCUGUGAUGUCACUGUGUUCCUUCUAGGAGCCCUCAGGGCUCUGGAAUCCUCUGGUCUGCACCCAGGUGGCACUGCUGCUGCUGCUGGUCCAGAUACCACCUUUUGAGAACCACUGGUUUAAGGAACACGCCCCUCCCUGCUCAUUCAGUUGAGGCCUCUCCUCAAGAAGAUAUCUUUGCAUUUGUUGUUUUUGUGUUGCUUUGUUUUGUGUUGCCGUAAAGAUGUGAGAUGCUGCUCCUGGGACUCCAGGCUGAUUCCUGACACCAGCAUGUCUGCAUUUUUGCAGAAGACCAGAGAAUUCUGGGGUUCGAAGCUAUGAGGUUUUGGGGUUUCUCUAAGGCAGUGGUGGGAGGAAGACCUCUCCCCUGAGCCCUCUCUCCUCAGCCAACCAGGAAGCUCAGAAUUCCACAGCCUCCCUGACUCCCACCUCAGCAGGCACCAAGAUUGCUGUAAUUCGGCACUGGCAGGUCUUGCAGGAGUUCAACUGAUCCUGGAUCUCGCUCCUUUUGACCUGGAGUAUUUUGUAGGCUCUUUCUUAUCGACAAGCUGUGUGUUCCAGGGAAACUCUCUCCUCUCUCCCUGGUCCAUGCUGAAAAUGCCGUUGAGGGCUUUGCAUCAUUUCACUGUUCCCAGAGUGUCUACAUUUAAAAGUUUCUCCAAAGAUUUUCCUUCGUAAACGAUCAUCAGAAGCACAUCAAAAACCCUGAGCACUCUCCCCUCUGCCCUGCUCCCUGUUAGCUGAUUUUAUAACCCUCCUCCUCAGCGUAAACAGAGCUGAUCACUUUAUACCCUUUGUAUAUUGUUUCUUAAUAUGAAUGAAGUGAAACAGCUAACCAGUAGUCAUUCAAAUUAUUGCCUAACAUAAACUGACAAGGAGCGUUGAAGUGUUUAGCCUCAGAAACUGUGAACGUGGUCACAACUUAGUAAUUAACUCACAUUUACUUAACCCCAACAUUCAUUUUGUUAUUAUUAUUAUUUUUAAUCAAGGAAACAAGGUUCAUUCUGUGGGAUAAGGAUUGGAUCUGAUCUGCGGCCAUUUACUUUCUACGCAACCUACCCCUGCCCUCACUGCCGACGCUGCCUCAAUCAGCUUCCCAGGGACAAACGUGAAAUCAAGCCCACCAGCUCCAAGACAAACACAAUCUCAGGGACUGGGCCCCAAAGCCACGAUGGGCAGGGAUUGCUCCCAGACGAGGGAAUGCUUUCAAAAGAAACAGAGAGUUUUUACCUUUUUGCCAACAAUUCUGUGGGCAACAUUUGUUUUCUAUUUUCCUUUUUUUCUCCCACUAAAUCACUUUUAUAAACUCCUCAAAAGUUUCAGUUUAUUCAGUGACAAUUAGUUUAUGGCAUUUCUGAAGUGGAUUUAGAUUCGAGUGAUAAAAUUACAAGCCAAAAUUGCAACCAUAAUGGAAAAUCCUGGUUCAUGUUUGGCCUUUGAGACCACAACUGAGAGAUUACGGGUGGACGCCAGCGAGCAGGGGGCAGCAGUCACUGAGCGUUCCCUUCCCCACGGAGUAGGGUCCCAAUCUGCCAACUCCUGGGGUGUUGGCGGGACAGGAGGCAUGGACGUGGCAGAACACGUGGCAGGACAGGUGGAAGAAGAACACAGGCUGGUUGGCAGGUUCACAUCUUCUCGCCCCGAGACAUGUCCUUUCUGUCCUCAAUUUCAGAACCAGCACUUUCCUGAAUUCCAGGCCAGCUGAUUGCAUCUCAGUUUCUUAGUGUUUAACGGAGACCUUCCUGAGCUAUUUCCUGAUAGCAGCUGGGAGCCUUUUGAACAGCCUGCAGCGGGAUUCUGGAACAAUCUAAACUGGCCAUGGCAGUUCCAGGGGCAGGGCUGACUUUGAACUCCAGCAGGAAGUGCAGUGCGAGGCCAGCUCACCCACUUCAGCGUCUCUUUCCUUUGGGUCGUUUAGACCCCAACAACACCCCCAAGUCCUGUCGCCCCUGCGGGAAGGAGAGGCUGGUGGGAGGAAAGAAGCCUUGUUGAGCAUCUACUGCAGUCCCGCCCUGGGGCUAUGGCUGGGAGCUGGACAGGCCGGGUCCUUGCCCUCCUGGGGCCUGCCUUCUAGUGGGGAGAGAGAUAGAGACAGAGGAAACAAAACACAGACCAGAGGAUUUCGGAGGGUCUGAGGACUCCGAGGAGAA